rnacentral:rRNA from 1 species
AAUAUGUGACAUUGGGGGUAACCCUGAUCUAGCCAUGCCGCGUGUGUGCAGAAGGUCCUCGGAUUGUAAAGCACUUUAAGUUGGGAGGAAGGGCUUUAGGCGAAUACCCUGAAGUUUUGACGUUACUAACAGAAUACGCACCGGCUAAUCCUGUGCCAGCAGCCGCGGUAAUACAGAGGGUGCAAGCGUUAAUCGGAAUUACUGGGCGUAAAGCGCGCGUAGGUGGUUCAGUAAGAUGGGUGUGAAAUCCCCGAGCUUUACCUGUGAACUGCUUUCAUAACUGCUGAGCUAGAGUACAGUAGGGGGUAGUGGAAUUGCCUGUGUAGCGGUGAAAUGCGUAGAUAUAGGAAGGAACACCAGUGGCGAAGGCGACUACCUGGACUGAUACUGACACUGAGGUGCGAAAGCGUGGGGAGCAAACA